CCUCCUUAUACGAUUUAGAACUUAUUUGUUCGUAGUGUCCACACAGAUGAUUGUUAGUUAGUUCCACCUUUGGGUUUAACUGAUUAAUAUGCUCUUUAAAAAUUUGGAAAAGCUGAUAAUAAAAUUCGUAUGAAUACAGUGUAUUUGUACAGAGUUUUCAAAAGUAAAAAAGAAUGAUAGCAGUAUCAUUCAGUGCCAAUUUAAUCAUUCGUGAUUAAUUGGUAUCUACUUUAGUAUUCAAUAUUAACUUCUGGCGAAGUUAAACUGUCACAUAACAAAGACCCGUAUGGGUUGUAUGGUUAAGUGACUAAGCGUACACGGUGGAUGCCUUGGCAGUUGGAGGCGAUGAAGGACGUAUUAACUUGCGAUAAGCCUAGUCAAGCUAGUAAAAAGCGCUUGAGACUAGGAUUCCGA
rnacentral:misc_RNA from 1 species